rnacentral:rRNA from 1 species
CCUACGGGUGGCAGCAGUGAGGAAUAUUGGUCAAUGGACGAGAGUCUGAACCAGCCAAGUAGCGUGAAGGAUGACUGCCCUAUGGGUUGUAAACUUCUUUUAUAUGGGAAUAAAAUGUUCCACGUGUGGGAUUUUGUAUGUACCAUAUGAAUAAGGAUCGGCUAACUCCGUGCCAGCAGCCGCGGUAAUACGGAGGAUCCGAGCGUUAUCCGGAUUUAUUGGGUUUAAAGGGAGCGUAGGUGGUUUGUUAAGUCAGUUGUGAAAGUUUGCGGCUCAACCGUAAAAUUGCAGUUGAAACUGGCAGUCUUGAGUACAGUAGAGGUGGGCGGAAUUCGUGGUGUAGCGGUGAAAUGCGUAGAUAUCACGAAGAACUCCGAUUGCGAAGGCAGUUCACUGGACUGCAACUGACACUGAGGCUCGAAAGUGUGGGUAUCAAACAGGAUUAGAUACCCGUGUAGUC